AGCGAACGCUGGCGGCAGGCUUAACACAUGCAAGUCGAGCGGGCGUAGCAAUACGUCAGCGGCAGACGGGUGAGUAACGCGUGGGAACGUACCUUUUGGUUCGGAACAACACAGGGAAACUUGUGCUAAUACCGGAUAAGCCCUUACGGGGAAAGAUUUAUCGCCGAAAGAUCGGCCCGCGUCUGAUUAGCUAGUUGGUAGGGUAAUGGCCUACCAAGGCGACGAUCAGUAGCUGGUCUGAGAGGAUGAUCAGCCACAUUGGGACUGAGACACGGCCCAAACUCCUACGGGAGGCAGCAGUGGGGAAGAUUGGACAAUGGGGGCAACCCUGUUCCAGCCAUGCCGCGUGAGUGAUGAAGGCCCUAGGGUUGUAAAGCUCUAUUGUGCGGGAAGAUAAUGACGGUACCGCAAGAAUAAGCCCCGGCUAACCUCGUGCCAGCCGCCGCCGUAA
rnacentral:rRNA from 1 species